rnacentral:tRNA from 1 species
CGGGACGUACCUCAGCUUGGACAAGAGCGCGCGCAUGGGGUCGCGAGGUCGCUGGUUCGAAUCCAGUCGUCCCGA